AAUAUAGCAGCUACGGCAAGUGCACCCCAGAGGUUUUUAAGGAAUUUGAUUAGAUCAAGAAUUGAGCUCACGGUUUUUCGAUUUAUUUGCCUAACGUAGAGGAGACUUAUGAGUGAGCGCCAGCGAAACUCAUUGAGUCAUCUGACUGGUUCUGGGCCCGUUUGUCCAUGCUUAUCGAGAUCUCGAUACGCUCCAAUUAUCGAGUUCAAGUGAUUUUCUGUAAUUUCGACACCAAGUUGAUUCACUUGAUUGCUUAAAAGUUCAAUUUUGAGUUUCGCGAUCUCAGGGCUUCCUUCUUCAAUUUCGCCUUGAAUUUCAGCCAAGGCAACUUGAAGGGGUCUGACGACAUCGCUGUAGUGGAUCGUCCUAUCGAUUCUUAUUUUAAAUGUGUAGAAGACACAACUCGCACCCCAAGUGAUUAAGGCUGUCAGGAUAAUGGUAAGUAGUAUUUUCAUUUCAGGGAGCUUCCGGGAAACCAAAGCUUGUGGGUUCCAGGGGAAGUAUGGUUGCAAAGCUGAAACUUAAAGUAAUUGACGGAAGGGCACCACCAGGAGUGGAGCCUGUGGCUUAAUUUGACUCAACACGGGAAAUCUCACCAGGCCCGGACACUGGAAGGAUUGACAGAUUGAUAGCUCUUUCUUGAUUUGGUGGGUGGUGGUGCAUGGCCGUUCUUAGUUGGUGGAGUGAUUUGUCUGGUUAAUUCCGAUAACGAACGAGACUCUAGCCUGCUAAAUAGUUCGCCGGUCCCGAUGUGCCGGCGCCAACUUCUUAGAGGGACAAGCGGCGUAUAGCCGCACGAGAUUGAGCAAUAACAGGUCUGUGAUGCCCUUAGAUGUUCUGGGCCGCACACGCGCUACACUGAAUUGAUCAGCUAGUUUCUCCCUUUCCGAGAGGAACGGGUAAACUGUUGAACCCAAUUCGUGGUAGGGAUCGGAGCUUGCAAUUGUUCUCCGUGAACCAGGAAUUCCCAGUAGGCGCAGGUCAUAAGCCUGCGUCGAUUACGUCCCUGCCCUUUGUACACACCGCCCGUCGCUACUACCGAUUGAGUGUUUUAGUGAGGUCCUCGGAUUGCUUUCCUGGCGGUUAACGCUGCCUAGUUGGCGAAA
rnacentral:rRNA from 1 species